CUAUUACCAAGGCGACCAGAGGAGGUCGAACCUGGGUUGAGUUUUACUAUUUAGCUCACCUGCGCAGCUCGCACGCCAUGUGGUUUCCUUAAUUGGUUCAUUGGUUGCAUCUGGUGCAUUUCACAUAAGAGGGAAACUGACAAUACAUUUGUGUCCUCCACUGUUUGGCAGUUUAUCGUCUCCCAAACACGGUUAAAGACUUUUUGAAGUAAAGAGGAGCAUCUCAUCUGGACCUGAUGUCUAUCAUGGAUAUCUAACUGCAGUACUGUGAGUAUCCCAACUUUAACAUGAAGAUGAACUGCAAACUGUAAGUCAUUAGUUUCUCAUUACUCUUGGGCACAUUGAUGUAUGUUGGCUUCCUGGUGAGUUAACCCGUUAGCUGAAGGUUGAUCUGAUUAGUAAGGAUCUUUUAUUGGUUCAUGGGUUACUUAGGCGUUUGGUUUAUGUUGGUUUGAAUGGUUUGUUAAAAUGGUUUCAGGUUCAAAGUUAUUGUUGUAAGCUGGAGUAAUGGGUUGGGUUCUGAUGUCUUCAGUCUUCUUUCCAGCUACUCUCCUGAGCUCUGCAUCUUCAUCACAUGAGUGUUGCUGUACUGAGGAGGGUGUGGUCUGAGUGAGCAGAGGUGCAUACUGGGAUACAGAGCUGUCUGAAGUCUACAGGUCUGUAGACACGCCCCCUCAGGGGAAACCGAGUGUUUGAGAAACCGUCGUGACGUCAGUUACAUGGACUGGAAUGUUCUUUAAGAUGGAGACAGGGAUUCAGAAGGAGAAACACCAGGGGGAGAUGAGGGGCUCCUCAUCUCAACGACUAAAACACAACUUCAGUCUGACACAGAGAACCAUGGAACACUUUCAACAGUCCCCUCCAGGCAUCGUGACUCCUCAGGAACAGUUUCAUUUCAGAGAAGGUCUCAUUUGGGGCCAUUCCAAGAUGGAUCCUGCUCCUCAAGAGCCACCCCCCUCCACUGGAUGGUCUUCUGAACAGAUGACGUCCUUCCUGUCCUCAGGCUGACUAAAGCUGCACCGUUUGCAUCUUUGAAGGCCCCUCAAUCACUAAACCACUGGACUACAAACACAUGACUUCAGAGACGUUGAAACAGCGUGAAUGGAGACACCAAGCAUAGUCCAUCACCAAUGUGGGACGCCACUGAAGAAUGUUGUGCAUAAUUUACGUCUCUGGAGAUAUUGGUGGUUCUGUUCUGGGUGCCCUGACAGAAGAGCUGGGGGUGGAUGAUGGAAUGUUAUUUGGCAUGAGGUUUUUACCCUGCAGGAGUGUUUGGUCUUUUAUGGCUGCUUUUUAUGGUGUGUGUGGGUUUGACAUGAGAUGGAAGAUUUUUGGCAUCGUGAGGGUUCUACUGUGUGUGUGUGUCCCACUCACACCCGGCACGGGGUUCUACGUGUGUUUCCUGGGUUCUGCGUCCUGCUUGCUUUGACAUUGAUAAUUUUCAUAUGGGGGUCUGUGUCAUUGGCUUGGGAUAUUGGCUUCAUCGAUCCGGAGCGAUAUCCAACACACUGGGCAGGAAGGAGAGUAUCUAAAUCAAGUGUAAAAGGAUGCAAGCGGCGUGUUCAGAUCAGCGACUUCAAACUAGGACUACACCAAUCAGGAUAAAUGGAGGAUGGAUACCUAAAGGCAUUCCACAAGGACUCUGAAGUUGGAAAGGAACCUCAAUGGAUGUUCAAGAUGACCUUCACACCUGUAAUGAGACGGCUCUUCCUACCUGGCUGGAUUGAUGGAGAGCCCUGUGGAUCUUCGGUUCCCUUGCUCUCA
ensembl:lncRNA